CGUGCAGGCGGUUCCGUAAGUCGGACGUGAAAGCUCCUGGCUUAACUGGGAGAGGUCGUUCGAUACUGCGGGACUUGAGGUUGGGAGAGGGACGUGGAAUUCCCGGUGUAGUGGUGGAAUGCGUAGAGAUCGGGAGGAACACCAGUGGCGAAGGCGGCGUCCUGGCCCACACCUGACGCUGAGACGCGAAAGCGUGGGGAGCGAACG
rnacentral:rRNA from 1 species